CGUAAUAGUGUAGAGUUUGGUGCAGGAAGCUAAACAAAAUGCUUAUUAUUGAAAAUUCGAUGGAGAUUAUUUCUUUCGAACAAGUGAGGACGUCAUGUCGAUAUGUUGCUGCUGUAAAAUUUUGGGCUAUUCGUGCUGGUACCAGACACGAUCAGCCAUUCUUUAGUUGCCCUGUCAAAAGAAAAUGAGUUUUCUACUGGUCCCUAACAAGAUUUUACCUAAUCAACCAGCUGGAAAUAACUCCCGGAAUUGAGACUUUGAGACAGCAAAAUAAGUGUAGUGGUAGUGUUGUGG